AUGGACGGAGGUAUGGGCUUCCGGGACCUACACUCUUUUAACCUAGUCAUGGCAAAACAAUCUUGGAGACUCAUCACAAAUAUUGAUAUGUUGUGUGCUCAAGUUCUAAAAGCUAAGUAUUAUCCUCACUGCAAUUUACUAAAGGCAGGCCCUAAAAAAAGCUCCUCUUUCACGUGGCAAAAUAUUGUGGCUGACCUGUGUACUUCUCGGAGAGGACACAUUUGGAGAGUUGGCACGGGUGAAUAGAUAGAUAUUUGGGAGGACCACUGGAUACCAGGAAGUCCAUCUAGAAUGGUGCAAACACCUAAGGGCCAAAUUCUGCUACAGACCGUAAGUGAUUUAAUUGAACUUGCUACUGAAAGUUUGGAUGAGAUGCUCAUAAGGAAUGUUUUUAACCCGAUUGACGUGGAAAGAAUCUUGCUAACACCCUUGAGCGUACAUCUGAAUGAAAAUUUUGUGGCCUGGCAUUUUACAAAAUCAUAUAUAUUCACAGUAAAGUCGGUGUACUAUAUUGAAUGGGAUCAUGUCCAUAGACACCGACUGACUAGAGCGGAUGGACAAGGGACAACUUCAUGCAAUCCUGUUUGGGACACCUUAUGA
rnacentral:rRNA from 1 species